ACAUUGGGGCGGGAUGUGGGAGCGGCUGAACUGCGCAGCAGAGGACUUUUAUUCUCGUCUCCUUCAGAAAUUUAAUGAAGAAAAGAAAGGAAUCCGUAAAGACCCAUUUCUCUAUGAGGCUGAUGUCCAAGUGCAGUUGAUCAGCAAAGGCCAACCAAACCCUUUGAAAAAUAUUCUAAAUGAAAAUGACAUAGUAUUCAUAGUGGAAAAAGUGCCUUUAGAAAAGGAAGAAACAAGUCAUAUUGAAGAACUUCAAUCUGAAGAAACUGCCAUAUCUGAUUUCUCUACUGGCGAAAAUGUUGGACCACUUGCUUUACCAGUUGGGAAGGCAAGGCAGUUAAUUGGACUUUACACCAUGGCUCACAAUCCUAAUAUGACCCAUUUGAAGAUUAAUCUGCCAGUUACUGCCCUUCCUCCCCUUUGGGUAAGAUGUGACAGUUCAGAUCCUGAAGGUACUUGUUGGCUAGGAGCUGAGCUUAUCACAACAAACAACAGCAUUACAGGAAUUGUCUUAUAUGUGGUCAGUUGUAAAGCUGAUAAAAAUUAUUCUGUAAAUCUUGAAAACCUAAAAAAUUUACACAAGAAAAGACAUCACUUGUCUACUGUAACAUCCAAAGGCUUUGCCCAGUAUGAGCUCUUUAAGUCCUCUGCCUUGGAUGAUACAAUCACAGCAUCACAAACUGCGAUCGCUUUGGAUAUUUCCUGGAGUCCUGUGGAUGAGAUUCUUCAAAUCCCUCCACUCUCUUCAACUGCAACUCUGAAUAUUAAAGUGGAAUCAGGAGAGCCCAGAGGUCCUUUGAAUCAUCUCUACAGAGAACUGAAAUUUCUUCUUGUUUUGGCUGAUGGUUUGAGGACUGGUGUCACUGAAUGGCUCGAGCCCCUGGAAGCAAAAUCUGCUGUUGAACUUGUUCAGGAAUUUCUGAAUGACUUAAAUAAGCUGGAUGGAUUUGGUGAUUCUACAAAAAAAGACACUGAGGUUGAGACCUUGAAGCAUGACACUGCUGCAGUCGAUCGUUCCGUCAAGCGUCUUUUCAAAGUUCGGAGUGAUCUUGAUUUUGCUGAGCAACUGUGGUGCAAAAUGAGCAGUAGUGUGAUUUCAUACCAAGACUUGGUGAAGUGUUUCACAUUGAUCAUCCAGAGUCUACAACGUGGUGAUAUACAGCCAUGGCUCCAUAGUGGAAGUAACAGUUUACUAAGUAAGCUCAUUCAUCAGUCUUAUCAUGGAACCAUGGACACAGUUUCUCUCAGUGGGACUAUUCCAGUUCAAAUGCUUUUGGAAAUUGGUUUGGACAAACUAAAGAAAGAUUAUAUCAGUUUUUUCAUAGGUCAGGAACUUGCAUCUUUGAAUCAUUUGGAAUACUUCAUUGCUCCAUCAGUAGAUAUACAAGAACAGGUUUAUCGUGUCCAAAAACUCCACCAUAUUCUAGAAAUAUUAGUCAGUUGCAUGCCUUUCAUUAAAUCUCAACAUGAACUCCUCUUUUCUUUAACACAGAUCUGCAUAAAGUAUUACAAACAAAAUCCUCUUGAUGAGCAACACAUUUUUCAGCUGCCAGUCAGACCAACUGCUGUAAAGAACUUAUAUCAAAGUGAGAAGCCACAGAAAUGGAGAGUGGAAAUAUAUAGUGGUCAAAAGAAGAUUAAGACAGUUUGGCAACUGAGUGACAGCUCACCCAUAGACCAUCUGAAUUUUCACAAACCUGAUUUUUCGGAAUUAACACUAAACGGUAGCCUGGAAGAAAGGAUAUUCUUUACUAACAUGGUUACCUGCAGCCAGGUGCAUUUCAAGUGAAGUGUGCUGAUGAAGUCCUCUAUAAGGCUGGAGUGCAGUGGUGUGAUCUCAGCUCACUGCAACCUUCACCUCCCAGGUUCAAGCGAUUCUCCUGCCUCAGCCUCCCAAGUAAAUGGGAUUACAGCACAAGCCAAAAAGAGAAAGAGAAAAAAAGGUAAUUAUUGUAGAACCUGAAAACAGCAAUGUAUGGAAACCCUCAAAGCAGAAAAGGGAGGAAGAUCCUGAAGAUUCUCUUAUGAAGCUCCAAAAUUGAUAAUCCUGUCUCAGCUCUGCCUCCUCAGGAGGAGCAUUAGUAGAACAGCAGUGAUGAGGACACAGAGGGAGCAGACAGUGGGUACCACGAUCUCCGUAACCAUUUGCAUGUGACUUAGCAAGGGCUCUGAAAUGACAAAGAGAACGAGCACCACAAAUGAGAACAGGAUCAUUUUAGUAAAUACAGCUUUAUCCCAAAAGCUUUAACUGUAUUGGGAAAACUUAAAAAAUAGCAUCCUCAAAUUUUCUGAUUCUUAUUUGCCAUGAAAUAGAACUUAGUAAAUUAAAUGUUAUUUGAAAAUGUUAUAAGAGCUUUGUAAAUAUUUCAGAAAAUAUGGGAUAAAUGCCUGAAUUUGGUUCUUCUACAGGUGCUAUAAUAAAGUCCAUCUCUCAAUACUUAUACUUUCUAAAUUCAUCUCAGAAUAUUAGCAGCCAUAUUCCACAGUUCCUAUAAUUUUUACUGGGGGGGAUUUGUGAUAGGAAAGUCCUUGGGAAACAUUUCCAAUCUUUCAAAAUAUUAUUGUGUAUCUUAAGAAGUAUAGGAACUUGUAUGUUGAAAUGUUGUAUGGUAGUUCUUGUAUAGUUAAAUAAUAAUCUUUUUAAGAGUUAAUGAUAAGCAUAUGUUAUGUGCAUUAUUAAUAAAAUAGUGGCCACUUAGGUAAUACCCACUUUUAUCUUGUGUGCUGGGUACUCUGGUUACUGAGAUAAAUAAGGCACUGGACAUCCUCACGUGGAGUUCACAGGCUCAUCAGUGAAUUCUGUACCACAUUUCAACCUUGUUUAUUUUAGUUUAAUGGAAUAUACAUUCUUAGUAUUGCCUGAUUAUUUAAAUUUGUUGAGGGGGAUUGCAUGUUGCUUUAUUGGCCUGUAAAAAUAGCUAGUUUGGUAAGAUUUGGUCUCGCACCUUCCAUCUUUGCUACCACAUUAAAGAUGAGCUUGUUAAAAAGGAAAGCAUAUUUCUCUGAUUGCCCUUAUGGAGAAAUAAAGAUAAAAUUCAAAGAAACAAAUAAUAUGUGUUGGCAUUUCUUGAUGCAUAGUUGCAUCUUUGUUAUUCGACAUCUCUGAUCCUUUUAGACCCCAUUACAUAGGAAAUGAUGUCUUCUAUGAAGACAGGGACCUUGUUUUGUUCCUGGCUAUAUCUCAUGACUUAAACAUUCCCUGGCAAAUAGUGAGUGCUUAAUAAUUGCUUGCCGAAUGAACAAAUAUAAGAUCUCAAGUAUUCUUUUUUCCUUCAUCCCAGUUGGUAUAGUGGUUGGCUUUUCCUCUCCUUGCCCAAGCCCACUAUAACAAAAAUAGUAGGUAUAUAAAUUUAUAGGUAUGAUUCUGAAAGAAUAAAACUUGAAUGGAUAAAAUGGAUAAAAUGUUUAUCUUUCAUGGUAGAUUAAAUGCUUUAAAAUGCUUAUAAAUAGAAAUUUGACAUUGCUUCAAAGAAACCUGAUUUUAAUCAUAAGUAGUUUUGGAAGAUUGACUUCAAGUAGAGCCACAUUUUGAGAUUUUGAAAAUGAUAUGUAUAAUUAUUUAGUUUAAUUAUUAAAGGAAAACAUUGAAAUAUACUGACUCACCUGCAGCAAGCAUCUGAUUGUUGAUAGAGCAAGUUUCCAAAGCUUUGAGGUACCAACUUUCCACCUAAUAAAAACCCACUUGAUAAGUAA